rnacentral:rRNA from 1 species
CUGGAGGCAGCAGUGGGGAAUUUUCCGCAAUGGGCGAAAGCCUGACGGAGUGACGCCGCGUGUGGGACGAAGGCCUUCGGGUCGUAAACCACUGUCAGUGGGAAAGAUGGGUGUCGGCGCGAUAACCGCCGGCACUUGACGGUACCUGCAGAGGAAGCCCCGGCUAACUCUGUGCCAGCAGCCGCGGUAAGACAGAGGGGGCAAGCGUUGCUCGGAAUUACUGGGCGUAAAGGGCGCGUAGGCGGGAUGGCAAGUCGGUCGUGAAAUCCCUCGGCUCAACCGAGGAUCGUCGAUUGAUACUGCCGUUCUUGAGGAUUGCAGAGGAGACUGGAAUUCCCGGUGUAGCGGUGAAAUGUGUAGAGAUCGGGAGGAACACCGGUGGCGAAGGCGGGUCUCUGGGCAAUUCCUGACGCUGAGGCGCGAAAGCGUGGGGAGCAAACGGGAUUAGAAACCCCAGUAGUCC